rnacentral:rRNA from 1 species
GGGAGUCAGAACAUGGGUGAUAAGGUCCGUGUUCGAAAGGGAAACAGCCCAGACCACCAGCUAAGGUCCCAAAAUAUAUGUUAAGUGGAAAAGGAUGUGGCGUUGCCCAGACAACUAGGAUGUUGGCUUAGAAGCAGCCAUCAUUUAAAGAGUGCGUAAUAGCUCACUAGUCGAGUGACACUGCGCCGAAAAUGUACCGGGGCUAAACAUAUUACCGAAGCUGUGGAUUGUCCUUUGGACAAUGGUAGGAGAGCGUUCUAAGGGCGUUGAAGCAUGAUCGUAAGGACAUGUGGAGCGCUUAGAAGUGAGAAUGCCGGUGUGAGUAGCGAAAGACGGGUGAGAAUCCCGUCCACCGAUUGACUAAGGUUUCCAGAGGAAGGCUCGUCCGCUCUGGGUUAGUCGGGUCCUAAGCUGA